ACAGUUACCUGGCGCUGAGUUCAGGGUGAUCAAGAAUGCUCUGACCCGAGGUGGAGGCUCACCAUUGCACGUCGGUGGGUUGAAACUCGCUACGGACCCUAAUCGGGUGCGCCCAGGCGUGUAGUUUUUGUCAUUGAGGAGGCUUCACGAUCCUUCCUUU
rnacentral:snRNA from 1 species